rnacentral:tRNA from 2 species
UAGGACAUAAUAUAAAUUGGAGUAUAUUUUAUUUACAAUAAAAAUGUAACGUUCUAA